rnacentral:rRNA from 1 species
UAAGCGACUAAGCGUACACGGUGGAUGCCCUGGCAGUCAGAGGCGAUGAAGGACGUGCUAAUCUGCGAUAAGCGUCGGUAAGGUGAUAUGAACCGUUAUAACCGGCGAUUUCCGAAUGGGGAAACCCAGUGUGUUUCGACACACUAUCAUUAACUGAAUCCAUAGGUUAAUGAGGCGAACCGGGGGAACUGAAACAUCUAAGUACCCCGAGGAAAAGAAAUCAACCGAGAUUCCCCCAGUAGCGGCGAGCGAACGGGGAGCAGCCCAGAGCCUGAAUCAGUGUGUGUGUUAGUGGAAGCGUCUGGAAAGGCGCGCGAUACAGGGUGACAGCCCCGUACACAAAAAUGCACAUGCUGUGAGCUCGAUGAGUAGGGCGGGACACGUGGUAUCCUGUCUGAAUAUGGGGGGACCAUCCUCCAAGGCUAAAUACUCCUGACUGACCGAUAGUGAACCAGUACCGUGAGGGAAAGGCGAAAAGAACCCCGGCGAGGGGAGUGAAAAAGAACCUGAAACCGUGUACGUACAAGCAGUGGGAGCACGCUUAGGCGUGUGACUGCGUACCUUUUGUAUAAUGGGUCAGCGACUUAUAUUCUGUAGCAAGGUUAACCGAAUAGGGGAGCCGAAGGGAAACCGAGUCUUAACUGGGCGUUAAGUUGCAGGGUAUAGACCCGAAACCCGGUGAUCUAGCCAUGGGCAGGUUGAAGGUUGGGUAACACUAACUGGAGGACCGAACCGACUAAUGUUGAAAAAUUAGCGGAUGACUUGUGGCUGGGGGUGAAAGGCCAAUCAAACCGGGAGAUAGCUGGUUCUCCCCGAAAGCUAUUUAGGUAGCGCCUCGUGAAUUCAUCUCCGGGGGUAGAGCACUGUUUCGGCAAGGGGGUCAUCCCGACUUACCAACCCGAUGCAAACUGCGAAUACCGGAGAAUGUUAUCACGGGAGACACACGGCGGGUGCUAACGUCCGUCGUGAAGAGGGAAACAACCCAGACCGCCAGCUAAGGUCCCAAAGUCAUGGUUAAGUGGGAAACGAUGUGGGAAGGCCCAGACAGCCAGGAUGUUGGCUUAGAAGCAGCCAUCAUUUAAAGAAAGCGUAAUAGCUCACUGGUCGAGUCGGCCUGCGCGGAAGAUGUAACGGGGCUAAACCAUGCACCGAAGCUGCGGCAGCGACGCUGAUGCGUUGUUGGGUAGGGGAGCGUUCUGUAAGCCUGCGAAGGUGUGCUGUGAGGCAUGCUGGAGGUAUCAGAAGUGCGAAUGCUGACAUAAGUAACGAUAAAGCGGGUGAAAAGCCCGCUCGCCGGAAGACCAAGGGUUCCUGUCCAACGUUAAUCGGGGCAGGGUGAGUCGACCCCUAAGGCGAGGCCGAAAGGCGUAGUCGAUGGGAAACAGGUUAAUAUUCCUGUACUUGGUGUUACUGCGAAGGGGGGACGGAGAAGGCUAUGUUGGCCGGGCGACGGUUGUCCCGGUUUAAGCGUGUAGGCUGGUUUUCCAGGCAAAUCCGGAAAAUCAAGGCUGAGGCGUGAUGACGAGGCACUACGGUGCUGAAGCAACAAAUGCCCUGCUUCCAGGAAAAGCCUCUAAGCAUCAGGUAACAUCAAAUCGUACCCCAAACCGACACAGGUGGUCAGGUAGAGAAUACCAAGGCGCUUGAGAGAACUCGGGUGAAGGAACUAGGCAAAAUGGUGCCGUAACUUCGGGAGAAGGCACGCUGAUAUGUAGGUGAAGUCCCUCGCGGAUGGAGCUGAAAUCAGUCGAAGAUACCAGCUGGCUGCAACUGUUUAUUAAAAACACAGCACUGUGCAAACACGAAAGUGGACGUAUACGGUGUGACGCCUGCCCGGUGCCGGAAGGUUAAUUGAUGGGGUUAGCCGCAAGGCGAAGCUCUUGAUCGAAGCCCCGGUAAACGGCGGCCGUAACUAUAACGGUCCUAAGGUAGCGAAAUUCCUUGUCGGGUAAGUUCCGACCUGCACGAAUGGCGUAAUGAUGGCCAGGCUGUCUCCACCCGAGACUCAGUGAAAUUGAACUCGCUGUGAAGAUGCAGUGUACCCGCGGCAAGACGGAAAGACCCCGUGAACCUUUACUAUAGCUUGACACUGAACAUUGAGCCUUGAUGUGUAGGAUAGGUGGGAGGCUUAGAAGUGUGGACGCCAGUCUGCAUGGAGCCGACCUUGAAAUACCACCCUUUAAUGUUUGAUGUUCUAACGUUGACCCGUAAUCCGGGUUGCGGACAGUGUCUGGUGGGUAGUUUGACUGGGGCGGUCUCCUCCUAAAGAGUAACGGAGGAGCACGAAGGUUGGCUAAUCCUGGUCGGACAUCAGGAGGUUAGUGCAAUGGCAUAAGCCAGCUUGACUGCGAGCGUGACGGCGCGAGCAGGUGCGAAAGCAGGUCAUAGUGAUCCGGUGGUUCUGAAUGGAAGGGCCAUCGCUCAACGGAUAAAAGGUACUCCGGGGAUAACAGGCUGAUACCGCCCAAGAGUUCAUAUCGACGGCGGUGUUUGGCACCUCGAUGUCGGCUCAUCACAUCCUGGGGCUGAAGUAGGUCCCAAGGGUAUGGCUGUUCGCCAUUUAAAGUGGUACGCGAGCUGGGUUUAGAACGUCGUGAGACAGUUCGGUCCCUAUCUGCCGUGGGCGCUGGAGAACUGAGGGGGGCUGCUCCUAGUACGAGAGGACCGGAGUGGACGCAUCACUGGUGUUCGGGUUGUCAUGCCAAUGGCACUGCCCGGUAGCUAAAUGCGGAAGAGAUAAGUGCUGAAAGCAUCUAAGCACGAAACUUGCCCCGAGAUGAGUUCUCCCUGACUCCUUGAGAGUCCUGAAGGAACGUUGAAGACGACGACGUUGAUAGGCCGGGUGUGUAAGCGCAGCGAUGCGUUGAGCUAACCGGUACUAAUGAACCGUGAGGCUUAACCU